AAAGCAAAUGGUGGAUGCCUUGGCCGUUAAAGCCGAAGAAGGACGCAGAAGAUGGCGAAACUCGUCGGGAAGCUGUCAACAAGCGAUGAUCCGGCGGUGUCCGAAUGCGGAAACGCCUCCGAUGUAACAAUCGGGGAACCGCUGUUUCAUAUUGAGUUUAAAAUUUAAUUAAGAGCCUUCAGUACCAUUUUUAAGGAUCUGAUGAAUCUGUUGCCAGGUUUGAGGCUACUUAAAAGGUAUUUUGGAUUUUGAUUUUGAAUUCAGUGUGAAGCAGCGGUGGGGAACUCGGGGAACUGAAACAUCUNNGAGAUUCCGUGAGUAGUGGUGAGCGAAAACGGAUGAGCCUAAACUUUUGCCGCAAGGCAAGAGGGUUGCAGGGUUUGACAUAAGGCAUUGAAAAGUUAGAAAAAGACCGUGGAAUAGGUUGCCAAAGAGGGUGAAAGCCCCGUAUUUGAAAACCUAGUAAAUGCCGGUUAAAUACCUAAGUACCAGGGUCCACGUGAAAUGUCCUGGGAAUCUGGGGCGACCAAGCUCCAAGGCUAAAUACUUUAACGGACCGAUAGUGAACUAGUACCGUGAGGGAAAGGUGAAAAACACCCCAUGUAGGGGAGUGAAAUAGAUCUGAAACCAUUUGCUAACAAACAGACAAAGCCCCGUUACAAUUCUGAAGAGUAAUAUGGAAUUUUUGAGUCGCAAGGCGAAGUCGCCUACGGCUUAUGCUAGUAAGAUUCCGCAAAAAUUCGUCGGAAUUGUAACGGGGUGAUGUCGUGCCUAUUGAAGAAUGAGCCUGCGAGUUUUUUCAGCUACCAAGUUUAAUCCGCCAGAUGGCGGAGAAGGCGAAGCGAAAGCGAGUGCAAACAGCGCGAUUAGGUAGUUGGAGAUGACCCGAAACCACUUGAGCUAACCAUGAGCAGGGCGAACUCCGACGAAAGUCGGAGGGAGGCCCGNNNNNNNNNNNNNNNNNNNNNNNCGAAAUAUAUAUAGGUAUAGCGUCUGGUGGUGGAUGGUGGGGGUAGAGCUACUGGAUGAGCGUUUUGACCGCAAGGUCAGGCGCUUAACCAAACUCCGAAUACCACCAUUUCUAGCCAGGCAGUCAGUCCGACCGGGAUAAGCUGGCCGGGCAAGAGGGGAAGAUCCCAGACUCUCAAUUAAGGCCUCUAAAUCUAGACUAAGUGGGAAAGGUAGUGAUUUACCUUAGACAGGCAGGAGGUUGGCUCAGAAGCAGCCAUCCUUUAAAGAAAGCGUAAUAGCUCACUGUUCGAUUUGGGUAAGUCGCGCCUAAAAUGUAACGAGGCUAAAGUCUAGUGCCGAAAUUGGAGAAUUGUUAAAUUCGCAAGGAUUUGGCAAUUAGUAGGAGAGCGUUGUGAUGGCGGUGAAGGUCAAGCGUAAGCGAGGCUGGAGCAAUCACAAGUGAGAAUGCAGGCAUGAGUAACGAAAUGUCGGUGAGAAUCCGACACGCCGAAAUAUCCAAGGUUUCCGCAGCUACGUUGUUCGUCUGCGGGUUAGGCGACCCUAACACGAGGCCAGUGUAGUGCUGGCGUAGUGGAUGGACAACCGGUUAAUACUCCGGUUCUAACUUGGAUUCGUUUUAAUUUGGGGCAUGACGCUGUGGGGAAGACUUGGGGCCGCAAGCUUUUAGGCCUUUAAGUGUCUAACUAGAAGAGGUUGGAAAAUCCGCCUUUUCGUUUUAAGGUGAAGCACGAAUAAGAGUUCCGAUUUUUUCGGAGCAAUCGAGUUAAAUCCCUAUAGACAAGAAAAAUGUCGCAAAUAGAAUCCAGGUUAAUCGUACCAAAACCGACACUGGUGGAUGAGUCGAGUAGACUAAGGCGAUUGGAAGACAGAUGGUUAAGGAACUUGGCAAAUUAGCUGGGCGUAAGUUAUACGAGAUGCCCUGCCCCAAAUAACAUUGGGGCUACAACAAAAGAAUGCACGGCGACUGUUUACCACAAACACAGGUCCAUGCUAACCCGUAAGGGGAUGUAUAUGGGCUGAAACCUGACCGGUGCCAGAAGGUUAAAAGCAUGAGUUGAGCCGCAAGGCAAAGGCUUGUGCUAUAAGCCCUGGUGAACGUCAGCAGUAACUCUAACUGUGAAACUUAGAGCAGUUGUAAAAUCUAGCUAUAUGCUGGGAAGACUAGUUAAAUGUCAUAGUACCGAGGAGGUAAAAAUCUAUGAACUUAGUUGAUCAGCAGGAAAGACGAUCAAGCAGAAGGAAGGAACUGUUUAAUUACUUUGCAGGUUUUGUUGAAGGUGAGGGUUGCUUUUCAGUAUCGAUCAAGCCACACAAGCAGAUGAAGUUUGGGUGGGUGGUCGAUCCGAUGUUUUCGAUAUAUCAACACACAAAUAACCGAAAGAUUUUGGAGCUUUUUCAAAAAGAACUAUAUUGCGGUUAUAUUGUAGCCAAACAGGGUAAACCAAACGUGUUGGUUUAUAUAGUUGAUAACCGAAGAACAUUAAUAGAAAAGAUAAUCCCGUUUUUCAACAAAUAUAGACUUUUGGGAACAAAGUGGAAUGAUUUUUUGAUAUUCCAAAAAAUCAUUUUCAUGAUGGAACAGAAGAAACAUCUGGAGAAAGAUGGUCUAGUGGAAAUUGUGAGACUAGCCUUUCAGAUGAACCAGCAGGGUAAAGGCAGAAAAUAUACUGCCGAACAGAUUAUUUCUGGUUUGAUUGAAUCCCCAGAGACUACACGCUAGAGUCCUGACAUUUCAGUCGGGAUAAGAUAUAGUCCAAGCUCCGACGCGAGUUGG
rnacentral:rRNA from 1 species